UACGGGGGGGGCAAGCGUUGUUCGGAAUUACUGGGCGUAAAGGGCUUGUAGGUGGCCAACUAAGUCAGACGUGAAAAUCCCUCGGCUUAACCGGGGAACUGCGUCUGAUACUGGAUGGCUUGAGUGUGGGAGAGGGAUGCGGAAUUCCAGGUGUAGCGGUGAAAUGCGUAGAUAUCUGGAGGAACACCGGUGGCGAAGGCGGCAUCCUGGACCAUAACUGACACUGAUAAGCGAAAGCCAGGGGAGCAAACGGG
rnacentral:rRNA from 1 species